rnacentral:rRNA from 1 species
GCAGGCUGNAACCCGCCUGCAUGAAGCUGGAAUCGCUAGUAAUCGCGGAUCAGAAUGCCGCGGUGAAUACGUUCCCGGGUCUUGUACACACCGCCCGUCACACCAUGGGAGUCGGUAACGCCCGAAGUCAGUGACCCAACCUUAAGGAGGGAACUGCCGAAGGCGGGACUGGUAACUGGGGUGAAGUCGUAACAAGGUAGC